UACGUAGGUGGCAAGCGUUGUCCGGAAUUAUUGGGCGUAAAGCGCGCGCAGGUGGUUUCUUAAGUCUGAUGUAAAAGGCAGUGGCUCAACCAUUGUGUGCAUUGGAAACUGUUAGACUUGAGUGCAGUAGAGGAGAGUGGAAUUCCAUGUGUAGCGGUGAAAUGCGUAGAUAUAUGGAGGAACACCGGUGGCGAAAGCGGCUCUCUGGACUGUAACUGACACUGAGGCUCGAAAGCGUGGGUAGCAAACAGG
rnacentral:rRNA from 1 species